AGAGUUUGAUCAUGGCUCAGAAUCAACGCUGGCGGCGCGCUUAACACAUGCAAGUCGCACGAGAAAGUGGAGCAAUCCAUGAGUACAGUGGCGCACGGGUGAGUAACACGUGGAUAAUCUACCUCUUAGUGGGGAAUAACUCUGGGAAACCGGAGCUAAUACCGCAUAAUCUCGGGAGAGGAAAGCAGCAAUGCGCUGAGAGAGGAGUCCGCGGUCGAUUAGCUUGUUGGCGGGGUAACGGCCCACCAAGGCUUUGAUCGAUAGCCGGCCUGAGAGGGCACACGGCCACACUGGCACUGAAACACGGGCCAGACUCCUACGGGAGGCAGCAGUGGGGAAUCUUGCACAAUGGAGGAAACUCUGAUGCAGCGACGCCGCGUGAGUGACGAAGCCCUUCGGGGUGUAAAGCUCUUUCGACGGGGACGAUAAUGACGGUACCCGGAGAAGAAGCUGCGGCUAACUCCGUGCCAGCCGCCGCGGUAAUUC
rnacentral:rRNA from 1 species